UGACCAUCCCGAGCGGCCGAGAGAUCUGGCUCCGUGACGCCGCAGCAACCAUGGCCCCCGCAGGGGCCACAGGUGCUACCGCCAGAACCGAUGGAGA
rnacentral:ncRNA from 2 species